CGUGAGACAGUUCGGUCCCUAUCCGUCGUGGGCGUAGGAAAUUUGAGAGGAGCUGUCCUUAGUACGAGAGGACCGGGAUGGACAUACCUCUGGUGUACCAGUUGUCGUGCCAACGGCAUAGCUGGGUAGCUAUGUAUGGACGGGAUAAGUGCUGAAAGCAUCUAAGCAUGAAGCCCCCCUCAAGAUGAGAUUUCCCAACUUCGGUUAUAAGAUCCCUCGAAGAUGACGAGGUUAAUAGGUUCGAGGUGGAAGCGUGGUGACACGUGGAGCUGACGAAUACUAAUCGAUCGAAGACUUAAUCAA
rnacentral:rRNA from 2 species